UAUUGGACAAUGGGCGAAAGCCUGAUCCAGCCAUGCCGCGGGUGUGAAGAAGGACUUCGGCUUGUAAAGCACUUUAAGUUGGGAGGAAGGGUAGUAGGGUAAUACCCAGCCCUUUUUACGUUACCAACAGCAUAAGAACCGGCUCACUCCGUCACAGCAGCCGCGGUAAUAGGAAGGGUGCAAGCGUUAAUCGGAAUUACUGGGCGUAAAGCGCGCGUAGGUGGUUCGUUAAGUUGGAAGUGAAAGGCCCGGGCUUAACCUGGGAAUUGCUUUCAAAACUGGCGAGCUAGAGUACGGUAGAGGGUAGUGGAAUUUCCUGUGUAGCGGUGAAAUGCGUAGAUAUAGGAAAGAACAUCAGUGGCGAAGGCGACUACCUGGACUGAUACUGACACUGAGGUGCGAAAGCGUGGGGAGCAAACAGG
rnacentral:rRNA from 1 species